UGAAACCUACGGGGGGCAGCAGUGAGGAAUAUUGGUCAAUGGGAGGAAUCCUGAACCAGCCAUGCCGCAUGCAGGACGACGGCUCUACGAGUUGUAAACUGCUUUUGUACCGGGGUAAAAUGCCUUACGAGUAGGGUUUUGAAAGUACGGUACGAAUAAGGAUCGGCUAACUCCGUGCCAGCAGCCGCGGUAAUACGGAGGAUGCGAGCGUUAUCCGGAUUUAUUGGGUUUAAAGGGUGCGUAGGCGGGUUUUUAAGUCAGAUGUGAAAUCCCGCGGCUCAACCGCGGAACUGCAUUUGAAACUG
rnacentral:rRNA from 1 species